UGGCACAGUUCCAGCCAUUCCCUGGGAAUGCUGUUCAGUGCCUGACCCCACUCUGGGGAAAAACCUUUUCCUCAUAUUGCCAUCUUUAACUGGAGGUAACAAGGAAUAUGUGAUAUAUUAAAAUAAUUGGGUUGCUUUCUGUGCUGUAAUCAGGAAAGGAGGAAAACUGUAUUUCAUGUGAGUUCAGCACUGGGCAGGCUGAGCUGUGGCUCUGGGACUCAUGUCUGUGUCUAAUACCCAACCAUUAAUUCUACCUAUAGAAAAAAAAGGAAAAAUGCAUUUAGGGAGAUUUUGUAUGCUCUCUGCUGUCAAUCACAAAGGACUCUGAAAUCUUGAGUGCUACUCGAUCUGAUUUUAAAAUGUAAGUAGCUACAAUAACCACAUUCAAGUUAUGAAAAAGCCCUUUUGAAAAACAAGCAAUGCUGUCUGCUCAGACUAUUGCUGCUGCUCAGUGUUGGUUUCUACAAAGUUACCUAUUCAAAAAUACUGAAAUUUUUCCUCUUUAAAACCAGGCAUACAAACCCAAAUCCACACACAUUUAACGUUAUUUGUGCAUGGAAGUAUUUUGUUGAAAGAAAUAAAUUAUGCAGAGGUUUCCUAAAUAAUUUAGCAGAUAGAGUAAGCAAAAAUUACGACUUUUUACAAAACACCCUCAGCUUGCUGGCAUUUUGUUCCUGUGGUAACACAUGUGGAUUCUGUGUUUUGAGGCUUUAAUUUUAAUCACACAGUAUCCUGUCCUUUGUCAGAGCAAUGUUGCAGAUGCAAUGUCCCAAAACCCUGUCAAAUUCUGUGCAUCCUGUAAAAGUUUCUCCUGUAAAUUAAACAUUAACAUUGUUUUUCAUACUAUUGAAAACAUUUUUCAUUGUGAUUGUGAUUACAGUAACUGUUCCCUACCAAGAGCUGAUCCUGCUGUGGGAGGGAAUGGGCAGGAACUUCAGGAUUCACAGUUUAGGAGCACAUUAAAGUGAGCUGAGGAGUCAGACAGUGGGACACUGCCAGAGUCAGGAAGAGAAAUUACUCAUUUCAAAUUCUAAAAAUCCUGACUCAUACCCAUCUGCACAUUAUUUCUCUAGGAUGACGUGUCCUGCUGCAUCCUUUGAGAUGAAGCACAUCAGAGGAGAUACCCACUGUUGGCAGUGCUGCAGAGAAGAGAGUGGACUGCACAGCCACUGGCUUGCUUAAGAUCACUCAGCAAACUUUCUUUUCCUUCCCUUUCUAUCUUUACUUUGUAUUCAUUUGCCUUUUGCUUUCUUGAAUGUGCAGAAUAACAGGAAAUGGGUUUGCCUGCCUUGGAGUGCAAGAGUGGAAGAGCCUUGGUCUUGUCCCUGGCAAGAGGCAGCACACAAGGGAAGGCCAUCAGGGUCAGGCUGAGUGUCUGUGCCAGCCCCAGCUGCUCUGUGGGCAUAGAAGGAAGAAGCUGCCUUCUCUCUAGUGAUGCUCAUGAGAUGAGCCAGCUUGGGGAAGCCCAGUUAUGGGAAGAGGUGACACCAGCAGCCCCCACAAGCCUGAGGUACCCUGGGCUGCAGAGGGUGGGAGCUCUCAGCUGUGCAGGUUGAAAGUCUGAUCAGAUGCUGGCUCUACAUGCAGAAUCAUUGAGUGAGUGCAGCAGCUCCUGGGAGAGCACAGAGCUGCAUCAGGCAGCAGCUGGAGCAUCCCCAGUGCUGGGGGAGCAAACGCUGGGGCUGCGGUUCCCCACUGCUGUCCCCAGCCCUCAGCUGCUGGGGGAAAGCAGGGCCCAGAGGCAGAAGGAAAAGGAAGAAGCAGUAGAGAAUAACCCUCCAUUUUUAUCUGCUCUACCAUCACAACUCCAAAAGCCUCCCCAUGCUGGCCUGUCUUUGCCUGCAUUUAAAGCAUCCAGUUCCCUGGGUUGUUGCUCAGGAUUCUCAGCCAAACCUGGCAGAUAUCACAGAGAACAAACAAACACUGAAGGAGUGGAUAUAUUGGUCAGUGCUCAUCAGGACCAGCUGCCAGCUUCUUACUGAGCCAGAUGUGCUGAUUUAGGUUAGAUCACCUUCAGGAUUCCUAUUUACUUCCUCUGUACUGAUUUUAUCCAUGAAGGAGUCUGGCUGCCUGCAGCAGCUCAUGUCUCUCCUCUUCCUCAGCAGAUUCCUUGGUCAGUGACUCGCUUACAAGAACAUGUGGAGGUGGACACGUCCUGGCUUUGGACAGAGAUGGCAGCAGCAAAGCUUCUGGUGCUUCUGGAGGAAGGCUGGAGAUCUCAGAUCAAACCAUCCUAAAGGCGAGGGAAGAGAGAACUCUGCUACGAGACUGAGCAGAUGGCCUGGGCACACCAUCCCCAGCUUCACCCUCCAGACAAUCCCCAGCCCUGCCACGUGCCCCUUCCUGAGACACCUUCUCCAGGCCUGGCCACACGGGAGGAGCAAGGAGCACUUGCAUGUAUCAGCAGGACCAAUAUCAAGACAGGGGUGCUCAUGUGUGUGUAACAUGAAGUUGUCAGAUCCUGUAGGAAAAUAGCAGCAAAUCUCAGCAUCUCAAGAUGCUGUCUUGAAACUUCAUCUUCUCUUAGUGGCACCAGAAAACUAAUUCCUUUCUGCACAAAAUGAACAGCUUUAAAAUCUCAAACUUCAUGUGAACAUGAAAUAUUCGAGGAAAUUUUUUUCAUCUUCAACCUUGACACACACUUUGCAUUCCUGCACAUCCCCAAAAUUCCUGUCAUCUCAGGGAAUGUGGAUUUCAAGGCUUGGAUUCAGUUGGACUGACUAAUUACUUGUGUUGUAAUGAUCAACCUGCUUAAUUUAUCACUUCUUUGAACAUUUAAUUAGCCAACAGUGCAAGGCAAUUUAGUUCUGAAUUAGGAUAAAUUAAAAUGCUAGCUUUGCAGCUUUAAGGAUAUGUGAACUACCACCAAUUGCUGCUAUGAAAACAUUCAACAAAGCAGAGAGAAGAAUGCAAAGAUCUCAGCCAGGUUAAUGAUUCUGAAGUAACAGCCUUUGAAAAGCUAACUGUGAAAUGUGUCUGCUCAAUCACAUGUCAAUCUGUCUAUGCUGAAGGAUAAAAACAAGAAGCUGAAAAUGGCAAUUUCCUCCUCCUCCUCCUCCUCCAUGCUCAGCUCCAGCUCCUUCCAGUGCAGAAGCUCCUCAGCCCAUUCCAAGCCCUGUGUGACUGGGGUCCCAGUUCAAUCCCUGUGCACUUCCAUUUGGGACAAGCUCACAUGAUUUCCUGUAAGCAAAGCUGUAAUUUGUGUUUCUAAGUACUCUGAAACUGCUUUGGAACUGCCCUGGUAUCUGACAGUUAAAUGUUCUCAAACUGAUAGGGAAUAAUAAACCUGAAUAUAGAACUUUCAUCGGAAAAAUGAGGUUUAAGAUCAGAAAUCCACGGAGAUGCUUUUGUACAGAUACCCAAACUGCUUCCAUUAUGUGUGCUGUCAUUUGGCUUCCAUGACUAAGCCAUUGUGAUAAACUGAAAAGGACCAUGGAUAACACUUUUAGGGGUGCUAAAGGAUCACAAGACAAUUCUUGCUGGUUUUCUGGGUGUCUCAUUCUCAGCCUUGCACCUGCAGCACACAUUUAGGUGUCUUCUUCAUGUAUUUCCAUCCUCACUAUGGAAAGGAUGAAACUCCUGAUAACUUUGUGUGUCUUGAUAUCUUGGUCAAAGCCACAAAAUAAAAAAAUUGACUGUCCAAAUCCUUGGGCUGUUUUGACCUCUUUGUUCUUGAGGUGCUUAUUCAGAACGUGAGUGCACAUUGUAGAGCAGAGAUGAGAACCAGUGAAUCCAUUUCUUUCUUGUCUAAUGAAUAUAACUCUGCAACUGCAACCACCAGUGAGAUGCAAAUGCAUUCAGAAUCUCCCAAAGAGCUCUGAGAGUUGCCCACAUACAUUGGUAUCAAACAUCUCCUGACACAGAAACCAAAGGUGGCAAGCAGAAAUACCAGUUCUGUUCCAAAUUAUUCUGACUACACUUUUCAGUGGUGUAUUUAGUGCUAAUUAGUCCAUUUUGAAUUGUUUGCCCAAACUAUACAAUAAUAUCAUUUCGUUAAAAAGGCUUCAAUUAAAGAAGAGAGAAAAAACUUCCCAUCAGAAAGCUAUCUGCACACUUAUUAUAUCUGCACACCCCAUAUAUGUGCACUGUAUAAUCAGGCAUGCUCAAAUUAGAGAUGAAAUUACAGCUUUCCUGUUACCAUGAGAACAGCAACAUUUCUCACAUCCUGUUAAAAUUAUUAACUCAAGUAGCUUAUAUCUUCUUAAACUUCAUUAUUAUUUAUCUAGGGUUGUAUAAGCUUUGGCUGUGCCCACACUAGCCAGCAUUAAUCACAUCUCAAGUGAACUACUGCCAGCAUGGAGAGAGCCUCCACCAUUUUUUACCAGCCACUAUAAUUAGCUUUUAUCCUUCUGUUGUCUAUUUUUUUUUUUUUCCUGGUAGCCAUGUGUGGACAUUACAGCAACUGCUACAAUGAAAAAACCAGAAAAGCUUACAGGAAUCUCACAGCCUGUGCUCCUCAGCAGUGAGCAAGCUGAGUGGUGCUCUCAGUUCAGCAGUGUGGGGUAAAGGAAUGAUGAUGAGAGCCUCAAAGCCUUGCAGCCAGUGCAGGUCCAGGUCUCAGGGAAGGUUUUGUCACCCCGAGCCUGAGGUUGCCAUGGCAAUGUGCAGGGAUGCCAGCCUUGCUCCAGCAGGACGAGCUGUGUUUUCCCAUCUGGUGGUGGCUUGAUCCUCUGACGCACAGCCUGCCCUGUCCUCUCCUUCUCACCUCAGCAGCACUUGGAACAGUUUUGCUUUCAGCACGGAGAGGGUGAGGAAAAGCUGCUGUGAGUGUUUGGCUCGCUGCAAAGGAGAUUAACGGCAGGAGCGCGGGUCUGAGGCAGAUCUGAACCAGAAAUCCUGCUGGCAGCGAGUGCUGGCGGCAGAGCUGGCCUGAUUCGUGCUGCACUUCAUAUGCUUUGCAUGUCCUGGAGCCUCAGAGGAGAUGGAAGGGACAUUUGGAAAAACAAAGGAUUCCAGCUGCCUUGUUACCUGCUGACACAGGAGUCACUGUGGCUGCCUGGGCAAUCCAUCAUGCUCUGGCUCCCACCUAGCUGCCAGCUUUCAGGUUAUUCCAGGAAAAGGGGACUCAUUUGGCCAUGUGUCAAAAGGAAGCACAGGUGAAUUCCAGUUUUGGUCUGCUCAGCUGGGAGGUGUUUUAGGCUUUCCUCAUGACAUGCUCAUCAUUAGAUUCCUGCUGCCAUCCCAGAGAGGGGCAGAUAAAAGUAUUAGGAUUUCAGAAGUCAAAUUCACAGAAUGCCUUGACAAUUCUGUUUCUCUUCUUUUGUUUAAUUGUUACUCAGAUACAGUCAAACAGGCUUUAGGGACUUUAAGAUGAACUGUGUCAUCUCCUUUGGUUUCCAGUAUCAGACCAGCUCAAACAGGGGCAGUGGCACAAGCCCAGGAAGGGAAGUGAGUGAGUGGCAGCUCACCUUGGGACACCUGAACAGCCUCCAGGAGCCCUCUGGCUCUGCAGGUGCUCCUGGGACCACCUUUUACAUGUGCAAAGCUUGGGCCACACACGGCAGUCCUGCACUCUGCAAGUGCAAUGUGGGUAACAAUCACCCUGGAUUCCUGUUCCUUCUGUCUGGUUUUUCUGGGGAUGAAAAUAACCCCUGUAAAGAGGCCCUGCACUUGCCAGUUUUCAGUUUUGAGACUCUCAGGGGCUUUGUGCCCCAUGUCUGUGCAGCAGGGCCUUCACCAAGAGCUGAGCUGGAGGCCACACUCACCUGUCCUGCUCUCACAACAACUCUUGUGCUUGUAAAUCACAGAGGUUCGUGCAAACAGCUCAGAGGUGUAUUCCAAUAAAUCUUUGCAACCACACCAUUUUAGUUUUGCUG